GGCCGCGUGGCCUAAUGGCUAAGGCGCUAGAUUUCGGUUUCAGAGAAUUCACCCUCUCUAGAGAUUCCAGGUUCGACUCCUGGCGUGGUCG
rnacentral:tRNA from 1 species